UGUAGGCGUCAUUUCCCGGAUGGGGUUGGGCUUCCGCUGUUUCUGCUGAACGUAACUGUGGGUCGGUAAAGGAGAGCGGCUGUGUGUACAGCCUUGUUUGGCGUCUUGCUGCUGUUCGGCUGAUGAAGGAGAGCGGCUGCGUGUGCAGCCUUGUCUGGUGUCUUGCUGCGCUGUUCGGCUGAUGAAUGUGACCGCAUCGGUCCUCCUCCAGCGAUCGUUUGGGUGGAUAAUAUCCCCGCAGUGGCGUCACCGCUGUCUCAUUCCAGGAGCUGCUGGCCUUUAUUGAACCGGGUCGAUGACUUCCUCUUUAGAUGGUGGUGGUGUUUCUUCAUUGUGUGUUGUGGACUUUGGCGUGCACUGGGGUCUUUAUUUUGGUAUGUGAGUGUUAUGUAGAUUAGGAGCCCUUUUUGGAGAGUCUUCCCUGUAAUUUAGGCCGCAGCUCCAUGACAUUUUGAAUGACUUAUGAUUGUGUAAGCUUUUCUGAGAGUUGAUGUUUCUAUUUUAUUGAUUUUAUUCUACUUUAAUAAAAGAUUGGUGUUUGA